CGAGCGGCCGCUAGGCGACCAACUAAUUUGGCCAAGGUAAGAGAGAUUAUUCAAGGGCCUGAUGAAUCUCCCUCUAUGUUUCUAGAGAGAAUUAUGGAGGCAUAUAGGAGAUAUACUCCUUUCGAUCCUCAGGCAGAGGAUCAAAAGGCAUCUGUCACAAUGGCCUUUAUUGGGCAAGCUGCCCUGGAUAUUAAAAGAAAGUUACAACGCUUAGAUGGAUUACAAGAUAUGACUUUGAGAGAUUUAGUCAGAGAAGCCGAGAAGGUAUACUAUAAGAGAGAAACUGAGGAAGAGAAGGAACAAAGGAGGGAGAAAGAAAGGGAGCAAAGGGAGGAUGAGAGAAGCAAAAGACAGACUAAGGCAUUGACUAAGGUCCUGGUCACCACAACAAAUAGGCCAGAAGUUAAGAGACAGGGAGACAGAAAGGGAUACCUGGGCCCACGCCAGAGGCCACCCCUGGCCUCAGAUCAAUGUGCCUACUGUAAAUAAAAAGGACACUGGGCCAAAGAGUGCCCUAGAAAGAGACAGCCACGCCAGCCAGCCAUUCUGACUCUGGAGGAUGACUAGGAAAGUCGGGGCUCGGAUCCCCUCCCUGAGCUCAGGGUAACUUUUGAAGUGGAGGGGACCCCAGUAAACUUUGAAGUGGAUACAGGGGCAGUAUACUCAGCCCUUAAGGCCCCAUUGGGCCCUCUAUCAAAUAAAAGGUCUCUAGUUCAAGGGGCUAAUGGCAGUAAAUAUCGG
rnacentral:lncRNA from 1 species